rnacentral:rRNA from 1 species
GACGAACGCUGGCGGCGUGCUUAACACAUGCAAGUCGAACGGAAAGGCCCCUUUGGGGGUACUCGAGUGGCGAACGGGUGAGUAACACGUGAGUAACCUGCCCUUGACUUCGGGAUAACUUCAGGAAACUGGGGCUAAUACCGGCUAGGAAUCCUUGCUGCAUGGUGGGGGUUGUAAAGCUUUGGCGGUUUUGGAUGGACUCGCGGCUUAUCAGCUUGUUGGUGGGGUAGUGGCUUACCAAGGCGUUGACGGGUAGCCGGCCUGAGAGGGCGACCGGCCACAUUGGGACUGAGAUACGGCCCAGACUCCUACGGGAGGCAGCAGUGGGGAAUAUUGCACAAUGGGCGGAAGCCUGAUGCAGCAACGCCGCGUGCGGGAUGACGGCCUUCGGGUUGUAAACCGCUUUCAGCAGGGGCGAAGCUUGUGGUGACGGUACCUGCAGAAGAAGCACCGGCUAACUACGUG